UACGUAGGGGGCAAGCGUUGUUCGGAUUUACUGGGCGUAAAGGGCGCGUAGGCGGCGUGACAAGUCACUUGUGAAAUCCCCGGGCUUAACCUGGGAACUGCAGUCGAGACUGUCUAGCUAGAGUAUGGGAGAGGGAAGUGGAAUUUCAGGUGUAGCGGUGAAAUGCGUAGAUAUCAGGAAGAACACCUAUGGCGAAGGCAGCUCUCUGGGACGGUACUGACGCUGAGACGCGAAAGCGUGGGGAGCGAACAGG
rnacentral:rRNA from 1 species